AUUGGUCGCAGGUUCGAAUCCUGCACGACCCACCAGUUUUAACAUCGAAGACAGAUGUUAAGCGUGUAGGAUAACGUUGCGUCAGCAACGGCCCGUAGGGCGAGCGAAGCGAGUCAUCCUGCACGACCCACCA
rnacentral:sRNA from 1 species